GAUGAACGCUGGCGGCGUGCCUAAUACAUGCAAGUCGAGCGAACGGUCGAGAAGCUUGCUUCUCUGAUGUUAGCGGCGGACGGGUGAGUAACACGUGGAUAACCUACCUAUAAGACUGGGAUAACUUCGGGAAACCGUAGCUAAUACCGGAUAAUAUUUUGAACCGCAUGGUUCAAAAGUGAAAGACGGUCUUGCUGUCACUUAUAGAUGGAUCCGCGCUGCAUUAGCUAGUUGGUAAGGUAACGGCUUACCAAGGCAACGAUGCAUAGCCGACCUGAGAGGGUGAUCGGCCACACUGGAACUGAGACACGGUCCAGACUCCUACGGGAGGCAGCAGUAGGGAAUCUUCCGCAAUGGGCGAAAGCCUGACGGAGCAACGCUGCGUGAGUGAUGAAGGUCUUCGGAUCGUAAAACUCUGUUAUUAGGGAAGAACAUAUGUGUAAGUAACUGUGCACAUCUUGACGGUACCUAAUCAGAAAGCCACGGCUAACUACGUG
rnacentral:rRNA from 1 species